rnacentral:misc_RNA from 1 species
AAUAAAGAGAGAGGGAAAGAAAAAUCAAUUUUGCUUUGUUCACCUGAAACGUCAAAGGAUUCGGCGACGAAUUGAAUAGAAUUAGUAAGGAAGCGACAAACGGGUGAUGUGCAUAACAAUUUAUAAAAAGGGUAGUUGUUGAAACCGUUAUAUAAAUAAAAAAAAGAAAGUUUAAUAGGCCUAAUAAAUUAUAUAUAAAAACUGUCAAUUUAAAUCUAAGUAUACUUUCGUCACUUUCGAAUUAGUUUUGGGUCUGGGCGGUAAAAGUCAUUCGUGAAAUAGUGUAAAGAGAGAGAAAAUUCGCUCAAGGGUAUUCAAUUCAUCGGCCAACUUGGUUCUCAUUCGUAACGGCUGCCAUCUAUCUGUCUUCCGACUUUGCAUUCCGCUUCGAGAAAAUGAACGAUGAAAAUGUCUGCGAUUUGACUUUGGAUUUAGACGAAUUGUGCCUUAAAACUCACAAAAUUGAUAGGAUAAAGAAGAGAAGAAGAAUCUCUUGCAGAACAUCAUCACCAAUAACAUUUAACCUAGAUUCACCUCAAUCAAAAAAUUCGUCAAUGGAUUCCGGAUUACCUUUAUCAGACCAAAACGACGAUUUGGACGGAUCGUUUACAGAAUUAUGUGAAAAGAGGACAACGAAGAGAAAGCGUUCAGAAGAUGAUAUACCUGUAGUUCCUGUUAUCAAUUUUGAUUCGGCAGAAGAUAGUGCCGACGAGUGUUUUCGUGUUGUAAAGAAAGGUCCCAGACCCCAAAAAUUCCAUAAGAAUUACGACGAAGAGCCGCUUAAAGCAAAAAAGAAACCUUUAGAUUGCGAAAAGAACCAUGAAGAAGACAGGCUUCAGGCAAUGACAAAUAUAAUUGACUCGUCUCACAGCGAAAAGAACCUCAUAGGUGACUUUUCGAGACCCUACUCUCUACCUGUCGUUGAAUGUUCACGAGACCUAAGAUACAUAUCAGUUAAAACUUUAAAUGAAUUAUUACACGCUCAAAAUGAUUGGCAAAUCGACUCAUACAGAAUUAUUGAUUGUCGAUAUCCAUACGAAUUUAAAGGCGGACACGUUAAGAAUGCAGAGAACUUCCCUAACCAAACAAUCUUAGCUGCAGACCUAUUCACUAAAUUACCCGAUCCAUCUAAGAAGCAUAUUUUGAUCUUUCACUGCGAAUUUUCUUCUCAGAGAGCUCCUGAAAUGGCUCGUUUUGUUAGACAAACUGAUAGAAAAAUGAAUCAAGAGAACUUUCCCCAUUUAUAUUACCCUGAGAUUUACGUUAUCGAAGGAGGCUAUAAGGCUAUCUAUGAAGCAAAGCCAGACUCAUGCUCUCCUAAAGCCUAUUUGCCAAUGUUAGCCGAAGGGUAUAGUAGAGAGCUCUUGAAAUGGAGAAAGAGCAAGAGCAUGCAAGAUCGUACCCAAACACGAAGCAGAGCUAAGGUCUUUUCCAGGUCGAAGUCAUCAACUUCUCUUGGCAAGGUCAAAGCUAAUUUGCAUUCUUUGUUUGAGUAGACAGUCUAGUUUUAAUUGAACUGUUUACUUUUCAAUUCCGUCCGCAAUUUGUUAGUCUGCUACUAGUUUUAGACACGCUUGAUUGAGAUGCCUGCAUUGUUAGUUAAAUGUCGUUUUUCGUUACUAUAUGUUUUUUUUUGGACUUUUGAUACAAUUAAAUGUAAAUUUGAAUGAAUAAAUAAAUGCAUAAUUACAAACUUGAAACCGCAUAAGUAUAGGAAGAAGUGGCGCCAUAAAAGCCGCCGGGGGCGCUGUCAUUGACAUAGAAACUGAGCGACAUCUAGAACGUUAUGAAAAGUAAAAGUGUAUAAACAACGACGUCUAAUGAAAUUUAAUACUAUUCACUCAAAAGGCAUAGUAUUCCGUAAUUGCACCGCUGAGGUUUGGGGUUAUAUAAAGUCUUUGUUUAAUUAUCCUUUUAUUGUGUAAAGAAAGGAAAAGUCAAAAAAACGGAAAACAUAACAAAAAAAAAGGAGAAGAACGCUAUAAACUGUCAAUCCCAACAGAUUAUUUCUAUAAAAUUUUACUUAAAAAUUGUUCUUUUAAAAGAAUUAGCGACCUAAAUCUGUCAGAAUUAACUGAUUGAAAUCUUGGGGUAAGGUUAAUCUCAUUAAAUAGAGAUUCGUCAAUUUAUCAUUAAUUUUAAAUUCACAUUCGUAGUUAUUAGAAAUGAAUUCAUGGGCGAAUAAUGCAAAAGUCGAACGAACACAACAUGAAUUUUUUAUUGUCCUUAGAGAUUUGUUGCAAAGUGGAAGCGUAGGUUUUUUUUAUAUGGAAAGUUGGGUCGUUAGAUUAGUUUAUAUUUAAAUACACCAAAUUCAUAGUUUAUA